rnacentral:tRNA from 1 species
GGAGGGGUGGGUGAGUGGUUUAAACCACCAGACUGUAAAUCUGGCGCUCGGAAGGGCUUCGUAGGUUCGAAUCCUACCCCCUCCACCA